CUGCAGCUCAAGUGGUGAUCAUUAUUAUUGGGCCUAAAACGUCCGUAGCCGGUUUAGUAAAUGCCUGGGUAAAUCGUGUAGCUUAACUAUACGAAUUCCGGGUAGACUGCUAAACUUGAGACCGGGAGAGGCUAGAGGUACUCCUGGGGUAGAGGUGAAAUUCUGUAAUCCUAGGGGGACCACCAGUGGCGAAGGCGUCUAGCUAGAACGGGUCUGACGGUGAGGGACGAAGCCCUGGGGCACAAACCGGAUUAGAUACCCGAGUAGUCC
rnacentral:rRNA from 1 species